rnacentral:lncRNA from 1 species
CAAAAAGGGAAUGUGAAAGACAUGCUCUGUUAAAUCUAGCAGUGGCAUUCUGAGACACCACCACCUAGAGUUCUCCUCUCCUUGCAGUGAGUGGGUUGCUGUAACUGAAACAUAGACAUGUUCCCUUCUUCUCUGGGGAUGGAAACUUCUGCCAGAAGAAAAGCGUGGCUGUUGGAAGGCAUCACUUACUUAAAUCACCGAGGGAGAUUUGAUGCUCAAGCAGUUACUUGCCAUAGCCAUGUUUACCAACACUGGCUGACUUCCUGAGCUGGAGCACCAAGGAGCAGGCUGGGCCAGAGCAGCAAGUCCUAUGUACCUAUCUGGAUGGGCCAGGCACCAGCACUCUGUACCGGCCUACAGCUUGGACAAGUCCUCUCACUUGCUGUUCCCUUUCCCAGGCCUCUCUGCACUCUCUGAACUAUCAAAGGAAAUAGCAGUGCAGAGUCUUGCUCAUGUUGAAGCUCGAAAUCCUUUUCUGGUUGUGCUGUCAUUGCAAAAUGAGAAACUUCUGGUUAAGGGACCGUCUUUGCAAUUUUGUUCUCCAUUGCUGUUGCUGGAAAAUAAGUAGGAAAUAAAUAGGCUAAAAGUGUGCA